AGCGAACGCUAGCGGCGGGCCUAACACAUGCAAGUCGAGCGCAUACCUUCGGGUAUGAGCGGCGGACGGGUGAGUAACGCGUAGGUCAUCUACCCUUUGGUGGGGGAUAACCCAGGGAAACUUGGGCUAAUACCGCACGAGGUCUACGGAUCAAAGCCUUCGGGCGCCAGAGGAUGAGCCUGCGUCGCAUUACCUAGUUGGCGGGGUAGCGGCCCACCAAGGGGACGAUGCGUAGCUGGUCUGAGAGGAUGAUCAGCCACACUGGGACUGAGACACGGCCCAGACUCCUACGGGAGGCAGCAGUGGGGAAUAUUGCGCAAUGGGGGGAAACCCUGACGCAGCCACGCCGCGUGGGUGAUGAAGGCCUUCGGGUUGUAAAGCCCUGUCGGGAGGGACGAAUUCUUGACGGUACCUCCAAAGAAAGCACCGGCUAACUCCGUGCCAGCAGCCGCGGU
rnacentral:rRNA from 1 species